UACGAAGGGGGCUAGCGUUGUUCGGAUUUACUGGGCGUAAAGCGCGCGUAGGCGGCUUUGUAAGUUAGAGGUGAAAGCCUGGAGCUCAACUCCAGAACUGCCUUUAAGACUGCAUCGCUAGAAUCGUGGAGAGGUGAGUGGAAUUCCGAGUGUAGAGGUGAAAUUCGUAGAUAUUCGGAAGAACACCAGUGGCGAAGGCGACUCACUGGACACGUAUUGACGCUGAGGUGGCGAAAAGCGUGGGGAGCAAACAGG
rnacentral:rRNA from 1 species